GGGAAGGCCCAGACAGCCAGGAUGUUGGCUUAGAAGCAGCCAUCAUUUAAAGAAAGCGUAAUAGCUCACUGGUCGAGUCGGCCUGCGCGGAAGAUGUAACGGGGCUAAACCAUGCACCGAAGCUGCGGCAGCGAACGUAUCACCCAAGACAACUUUACGGAGUUGACGAUUGACGGAGCGAAGCGACGUCAAAGCGUUCAUUAAAGUCGAGUUGGCUUAGGGAUACGUUCGUUGGGUAGGGGAGCGUUCUGUAAGCCUGUGAAGGUGGCCUGUGAGGGUUGCUGGAGGUAUCAGAAGUGCGAAUGCUGACAUAAGUAACGAUAAAGCGGGUGAAAAGCCCGCUCGCCGGAAGACCAAGGGUUCCUGUCCAACGUUAAUCGGGGCAGGGUGAGUCGACCCCUAAGGCGAGGCCGAAAGGCGUAGUCGAUGGGAAACGGGUUAAUAUUCCCGUACUUGGUGUUACUGCGAAGGGGGGACGGAGAAGGCUAUGUUGGCCGGGCGACGGUUGUCCCGGUUUAAGCGUGUAGGUGUGUGUUCCAGGUAAAUCCGGUUCACUUUAACACUGAGGCGUGAUGACGAGGCACUACGGUGCUGAAGCAACAAAUGCCCUGCUUCCAGGAAAAGCCUCUAAGCAUCAGGUAACAUCAAAUCGUACCCCAAACCGACACAGGUGGUCAGGUAGAGAAUACCAAGGCGCUUGAGAGAACUCGGGUGAAGGAACUAGGCAAAAUGGUGCCGUAACUUCGGGAGAAGGCACGCUGACAC
rnacentral:rRNA from 1 species